rnacentral:rRNA from 1 species
GAUGAACGCUGGCGGCGUGCCUAAUACAUGCAAGUCGAACGCAUAGCGAAAGGUGCUUGCACCUUUCAAGUGAGUGGCGAACGGGUGAGUAACACGUGGACAACCUGCCUCAAGGCUGGGGAUAACAUUUGGAAACAGAUGCUAAUACCGAAUAAAACUUAGUGUCGCAUGACACAAAGUUAAAAGGCGCUUCGGCGUCACCUAGAGAUGGAUCCGCGGUGCAUUAGUUAGUUGGUGGGGUAAAGGCCUACCAAGACAAUGAUGCAUAGCCGAGUUGAGAGACUGAUCGGCCACAUUGGGACUGAGACACGGCCCAAACUCCUACGGGAGGCUGCAGUAGGGAAUCUUCCACAAUGGGCGAAAGCCUGAUGGAGCAACGCCGCGUGUGUGAUGAAGGCUUUCGGGUCGUAAAGCACUGUUGUAUGGGAAGAACAGCUAGAACAGGAAAUGAUUUUAGUUUGACGGUACCAUACCAGAAAGGGACGGCUAAAUACGU